UGGCUCAGAUUGAACGCUGGCGGCAUGCCUUACACAUGCAAGUCGAACGGUAACAGGUCUUCGGACGCUGACGAGUGGCGAACGGGUGAGUAAUACAUCGGAACGUGCCCGAUCGUGGGGGAUAACGAGGCGAAAGCUUUGCUAAUACCGCAUACGAUCUACGGAUGAAAGCGGGGGAUCUUCGGACCUCGCGCGGACGGAGCGGCCGAUGGCAGAUUAGGUAGUUGGUGGGAUAAAAGCUUACCAAGCCGACGAUCUGUAGCUGGUCUGAGAGGAUGAUCAGCCACACUGGGACUGAGACACGGCCCAGACUCCUACGGGAGGCAGCAGUGGGGAAUUUUGGACAAUGGGCGAAAGCCUGAUCCAGCCAUGCCGCGUGCAGGAUGAAGGCCUUCGGGUUGUAAACUGCUUUUGUACGGAACGA
rnacentral:rRNA from 1 species